ensembl:lncRNA ERICH2-DT ERICH2 divergent transcript
GCUCUCUCAAGCCAUUCUGGAUUUACAGAGAGGCCUGCUCUGCUUUCCCCAGAGACUUCAAGUAUAUGGAGUUGAGCUCUGUCGCCCAGGCUGGAGUGCAGUGGCACCAUC